rnacentral:misc_RNA from 1 species
AUGCGAUAAGUAAUGUGAAUUGCAGAAUUCAGUGAAUCAUCGAAUCUUUGAACGCACAUUGCGCCCGCCAGUAUUCUGGCGGGCAUGCCUGUUCGAGCGUCAUUUCAACCCUCAAGCACAGCUUGGUGUUGGGACUCGCGUUAAUUCGCGUUCCCCAAAUUGAUUGGCGGUCACGUCGAGCUUCCAUAGCGUAGUAGUAAAACCCUCGUUACUGGUAAUCGUCGCGGCCACGCCGUUAAACCCCAACUUCUGAAUGUUGACCUCGGAUCAGGUAGGAAUACCCGCUGAACUUAA